rnacentral:rRNA from 1 species
AAUCAACGCUGGCGGCGUGCCUAACACAUGCAAGUCGAACGCGAAAACCCCGCAAGGGGUGAGUAGAGUGGCAAACGGGUGAGUAACACGUGGGUGACCUGCCCAUAAGACUGGGAUAACUCCGGGAAACCGGGGCUAAUACCGGAUAACAUUUUGAACCGCAUGGUUCGAAAUUGAAAGGCGGCUUCGGCUGUCACUUAUGGAUGGACCCGCGUCGCAUUAGCUAGUUGGUGAGGUAACGGCUCACCAAGGCAACGAUGCGUAGCCGACCUGAGAGGGUGAUCGGCCACACUGGGACUGAGACACGGCCCAGACUCCUACGGGAGGCAGCAGUAGGGAAUCUUCCGCAAUGGACGAAAGUCUGACGGAGCAACGCCGCGUGAGUGAUGAAGGCUUUCGGGUCGUAAAACUCUGUUGUUAGGGAAGAACAAGUGCUAGUUGAAUAAGCUGGCACCUUGACGGUACCUAACCAGAAAGCCACGGCUAACUACGUGCCAGCCGCCGCAGUAA